rnacentral:rRNA from 1 species
AGAGUUUGAUCCUGGCUCAGGACGAACGCUGGCGGCGUGCUUAACACAUGCAAGUCGAGCGGAAAGGCCCUUCGGGGUACUCGAGCGGCGAACGGGUGAGUAACACGUGAGUAACCUGUCCUUAGCUUCGGGAUAACCCUCGGAAACGGGGGCUAAUACCGGAUAGGACCUGGCCCUGCAUGGGGUUGGGUGGAAAGUUU